ACCCAAACCCGAACCGGAAAAUUUAAACCCGAAACAAUUAUUUCUUUUUUCAAUAUUUCAAAAUAUAUUAUAUUAAAUCUAAAUUUUUAAAAUACAAAUUCAAAUAUAACAUCAAUUUUUUUUAUAUAUAUUAUAUAUAAUACAAGAUAAAUUUGGAUUCGGGUCGGGUUCGGGUUCGGGUUGGAUACAAUCAAAAUUCAUAUCCAAAUCCAUAUCCGUCGGGUUUCUAUUUUUGAUAUCCAUAUCCGAAUCCAUAUCUAUAUCCAUCGAAUACAUCCGUUUUAUUCGGGUUCGGGUUCGGAUAAAAUUUCAGAUAUUUAUACCCGUUGACAUCCCUACUCAAU
rnacentral:lncRNA from 1 species